rnacentral:rRNA from 1 species
UGCCAGCAGCCGCUGUACGCCUAACCGGACGAACGUUAUUCGGAAUCACUGGGCUUAAAGAGUACGUAGGCGGCUUGGUAGGUUGGGUGUGAAAUCCCACAGCUCAACUGUGGAACUGCGCUCAAAACCACCAAGCUUGAGGGAGACAGGGGUAAGCGGAACUGAUGGUGGAGCGGUGAAAUGCGUUGAUAUCAUCAGGAACACCGGUGGCGAAGGCGGCUUACUGGGUCUCUUCUGACGCUGAGGUACGAAAGCUAGGGUAGCGAACGGGAUUAGAUA